GGAACCUGGUUGAUCCUGCCAGUAGUCAUAUGCUUGUCUCAAAGAUUAAGCCAUGCAUGUCUAAGUAUAAAUAACUUAUACUGUGAAACUGCGUAUGGCUCAUUAAAUCAGUUAUAGUUUAUCUGAUGAUACUUCACUACAUGGAUAACCGUAGUAAUUCUAGAGCUAAUACAUGCGUAAAGUCCCGACACUCG
rnacentral:rRNA from 1 species